rnacentral:lncRNA from 1 species
AGAAACCCUUGUAAUUUUAAAGAUAUUGUAAUUUUUAUUGGAGGGCAGCCAAGUGUUGUUUUCUAUAACAAAAGCUAUUUCAAUGACUUGGAAGUCAAAAUUUUAUUUCUAUUCUUAACAUUAUGUUUAAGGCCCAUAUUAAGUUUCUCGAUUGUUAUUUUGAGUCUAGUUUCUAAUAAAAAUUAUUUGAGAGAGAAACAUCUUCGAGAAAUAAUGAAUAAAAAUUGCUGAUUGAAGAAAUGUCAUCUUGAAUUUUUG